rnacentral:misc_RNA from 1 species
GUGAAUCAUCAAAUUUUUGAACGCAAAUUGCACUCUCUUCGGAUAGUAUGCCUGUUUGAGGGUCAUUCUAAAAAAAAUCGAGAUAGUCGAUGUUUCUCUGUGACAUUCGUCUGAAAUGUAGGAAUCUUAAACCUUUGGGUUUUAAGUGUCUUAAAAUGUUCUUUACGAUUCUACUAAUGUUUCUAAGAUUUAUUUAUUACAAGUUUAAGUUAAUCGAUCUUUAUUAGACGUGG